CUAUUGAGGAGAGAUACAGGAGAGAACUCAGGUACACGUAUGAAUUUCAGAUCUCCACUGACAGCGUAAUGGGAACAUAGACAACUAUACUUGCAGAAACCUGCAGGCUUCAGCUAAGAGAUUAGAAGUAAAGUCAGAAAUGAGACUCAGUUACAUCCACUUGGGAUGCAAAUGCUGGAUGAAGUAAUCGUAUUUUCUUGCUGGAACAGAAGGGAAUGAAAAUGGCAGAAUGAUCAUUCAAUAUGGUAACAAAGCUCAAAGCAGUUGGGAGUGAAAGUGACUG
rnacentral:lncRNA from 1 species